UACGAAGGGGGCUAGCGUUGUUCGGAUUUACUGGGCGUAAAGCGCACGUAGGCGGUUUGUUAAGUGAGAGGUGAAAUCCCAGAGCUCAACUCUGGAACUGCCUUUCAUACUGGCAAGCUAGAGUCCGGAAGAGGUAAGUGGAACUCCUAGUGUAGGAGGUGGAAUUCGUAGAUAUUCGCAAGAACACCAGUGGCGAAAGGCGGCUCACUGGCCCGAUACUGACGCUGAGGCACGGAAAGCGAUGGGG
rnacentral:rRNA from 1 species